rnacentral:rRNA from 1 species
UACGAAGGGGGCUAGCGUUGCUCGGAAUCACUGGGCGUAAAGCGCACGUAGGCGGAUCGUUAAGUCGGAGGUGAAAUCCUGGAGCUCAACUCCAGAACUGCCUUCGAUACUGGCGAUCUUGGAGUCCGGGAGAGGUGAGUGGGAACUCCGAGUGUAGAGGUGAAAUUCGUAGAGUAUUCGGAAGAACACCAGUGGCGAAGGCGGCUCACUGGCCCGGUACUGACGCUGAGGUGCGAAAGCGUGGGGAGCAAACAGG